rnacentral:rRNA from 1 species
UACGUAGGGUGCGAGCGUUAAUCGGAAUUACUGGGCGUAAAGCGUGCGCAGGCGGUUUUGUAAGCCAGAUGUGAAAUCCCCGGGCUCAACCUGGGACCUGCAUUUGUGACUGCAUCGCUGGAGUGCGGCAGAGGGGGAUGGAAUUCCGCGUGUAGCAGUGAAAUGCGUAGAUAUGCGGAGGAACACCGAUGGCGAAGGCAAUCCCCUGGGCCUGCACUGACGCUCAUGCACGAAAGCGUGGGGAGCAAACAGG